CUUAAGCAUAUCAAUAAGCGGAGGAAAAGAAACCAACAGGGAUUGCCCCAGUAACGGSGAGUGAAGCGGCAACAGCUCAAAUUUGAAAUCUGGCCCCUAGGGUYCGAGUUGUAAUUUGUAGAGGAUGCUUUUGGUGAGGUGCCGCYCGAGUUCCCUGGAACGGGACGCCGCAGAGGGUGARARCCCCGUYUGGSUGGCCMCCGAGCCUYUGUAAAGCUCCUUYGRCGAGUCGAGUAGUUUGGGAAUGCUGCUCAAAAUGGGAGGUAUAUGUYUUCUAAAGCUAAAUAUUGGCCAGAGACCGAUAGCGCMCAAGUAGAGUGAUYGAAAGAUGAAAAGCMCCUUGAAAAGAGGGUUAAACAGUACGUGAAAUUGUUGAAAGGGAAGCGCUUGUGACCMGACUUGGGCGCGGCGGAUCAUCCGGGGUUCUCCCCGGUGCACUUCGCCGCGUUCAGGCCAGCAUCAGUUCGGCGCGGGGGAAAAAGGCUUCGGGAACGUGGCUCCUCCGGGAGUGUUAUAGCCCGUUGCAUAAUACCCUGUGCUGGACUGAGGACCGCGCAUCUGCAA
rnacentral:rRNA from 1 species